rnacentral:rRNA from 1 species
AUCUCUGUAGAGUCUGCAUAUCAAUAAGCGGAGGAAAAGAAACUAACAAGGAUUCCCUUAGUAACGGCGAGUGAAGCGGGAAGAGCUCAAAUUUGAAAUCUUCAAGGUUCUACCUUGACGAAUUGUAGUUUAAAGAAGUGUUUUCUGUUAGAGUGAGUAGCAAAAGUUCCUUGGAAUAGGGACAUCAUAGAGGGUGAGAAUCCCGUAUUUGGUUAUUCAUUCUAGCUUUGUGAUACACUUUCAAAGAGUCGGAUUGUUUGGGAAUGCAGUCCAAAAUGGGUGGUAAAUUUCAUCUAAAGCUAAAUAUUGGCGAGAGACCGAUAGCGAACAAGUACCGUGAGGGAAAGAUGAAAAGAACUUUGAAAAGAGAGUUAAACAGUACGUGAAAUUGUCAAAAGGGAAGCGUUUGACACCAGUGUUGUUUUUCCGAAAAUCAAUUACGAAUGGCUUGAUUUUGUGUUGUAUUGACCUUAUCAGCUUUCUUCACUUUUUUCGAGUCUUUCUUAAUGCACUUUUCGGUUAACAAGUCAACAUCAAUUUCUUUUGUUGUAAAAGAGUAUUCGGAAGGUGGCUUUCUUUUCGGAGAAAGUGUUUAUAGCCCUAUACUUCUACAAUCGGAGAGAUUGAGGUCUGCAGCGUAGAUCCUUCGGGGUUAGAUACACUUGUGCUAAGUUGUAGCUUUUCAUAGACAACUUGUUGACUAUGUUUAGUCAUGCGGCUUACUCGCUUGUGCUAUUUUACCUACGCUUAGGAUGUUGACUGAUAUGUAGUCGUA